UNUGACUUGAGUGCAGAAGGGGAGAGUGGAAUUCCAUGUGUAGCGGUGAAAUGCGUAGAUAUAUGGAGGAACACCAGUGGCGAAAGCGGCUCUCUGGUCUGUCACUGACGCUGAGGCUCGAAAGCGUGGGUAGCGAACAGGAUUAGAUACCCUGGUAGUNCACGCCGUAAACGAUGAGUGCUAGGUGUUAGGCCCUUUCCGGGGCUUAGUGCCGGAGCUAACGCAAUAAGCACUCCGCCUGGGGAGUACGACCGCAAGGUUGAAACUCAAAGGAAUUGACGGGGGCCCGCACAAGCGGUGGAGCAUGUGGUUUAAUUCGAAGCAACGCGAAGAACCUUACCAGGUCUUGACAUCCCGAUGCUAUUCUUAGAGAUAGGAAGUUACUUCGGUACAUCGGAGACAGGUGGUGCAUAGUUGUCGUCAGCUCGUGUCGUGAGAUGUUGGGUUAAGUCCCGCAACGAGCGCAACCCUUAUUGUUAGUUGCCAUCAUUAAGUUGGGCACUCUAGCGAGACUGCCGGUAAUAAACCGGAGGAAGGUGGGGAUGACGUCAAAUCAUCAUGCCCCUUAUGACCUGGGCUACACACGUGCUACAAUGGUCGGUACAACGAGUUGCGAGCCGGUGACGGCAAGCUAAUCUCUGAAAGCCGAUCUCAGUUCGGAUUGGAGGCUGCAACUCGCCUCCAUGAAGUCGGAAUCGCUAGUAAUCGCGGAUCAGCACGCCGCGGUGAAUACGUUCCCGGGCCUUGUACACACCGCCCGUCACACCACGAGAGUUUGUAACACCCGAAGU
rnacentral:rRNA from 1 species